rnacentral:rRNA from 1 species
GAUGAACGCUGGCGGCGUGCCUAAUACAUGCAAGUAGAACGCUGAAGGAGGAGCUUGCUCUUCUGGAUGAGUUGCGAACGGGUGAGUAACGCGUAGGUAACCUGCCUGGUAGCGGGGGAUAACUAUUGGAAACGAUAGCUAAUACCGCAUGACAACAGUUAUUGCAUGAUAACUGUUUAAAAGGGGCAACUGCUCCACUACCAGAUGGACCUGCGUUGUAUUAGCUAGUUGGUGAGGUAACGGCUCACCAAGGCGACGAUACAUAGCCGACCUGAGAGGGUGAUCGGCCACACUGGGACUGAGACACGGCCCAGACUCCUACGGGAGGCAGCAGUAGGGAAUCUUCGGCAAUGGACGGAAGUCUGACCGAGCAACGCCGCGUGAGUGAAGAAGGUUGUCGGAUCGUAAAGCUCUGUUGUAAGAGAAGAACGAGGGUGAGAGUGGAAAGUUCACACUGUGACGGUAUCUUACCAGAAAGGGACGGCUAACUACGUG